rnacentral:rRNA from 1 species
UCGAUGAAGAACGCAGCGAAAUGCGAUAAGUAAUGUGAAUUGCAGAAUUCAGUGAAUCAUCGAAUCUUUGAACGCACAUUGCGCCCAUUAGUAUUCUAGUGGGCAUGCCUGUUCGAGCGUCAUUUCAACCCCUAAGCACAGCUUAUUGUUGGGACUCUACGGCUUCGUAGUUCCCCAAAGACAUUGGCGGAGUGGCAGCAGUCCUCUGAGCGUAGUAAUUCUUUAUCUCGCUUUUGUUAGGCGCUGCCCCCCCGGCCGUAAAACCCCCAAUUUUUUCUGGUUGACCUCGGAUCAGGUAGGAAUACCCGCUGAACUUAAGCAUAUCAAUAAGCGGAGGAA